GAUGAGCGCUGGCGGCGUGCCUAAUACAUGCAAGUCGAACGAAACUUCUUUAUCACCGAGUGCUUGCACUCACCGAUAAAGAGUUGAGUGGCGAACGGGUGAGUAACACGUGGGCAACCUGCCCAAAAGAGGGGGAUAACACUUGGAAACAGGUGCUAAUACCGCAUAACCAUAGUUACCGCAUGGUAACUAUGUAAAAGGUGGCUAUACUACCGCUUUUGGAUGGGCCCGCGGCGCAUUAGCUAGUUGGUAGGGUAAAGGCUUACCAAGGCAAUGAUGCGUAGCCGAAUUGAGAGGUUGAUCGGCCACAUUGGGACUGAGACACGGCCCAAACUCCUACGGGAGGCAGCAGUAGGGAAUCUUCCACAAUGGGCGAAAGCCUGAUGGAGCAACGCCGCGUGGGUGAAGAAGGUCUUCGGAUCGUAAAACCCUGUUGUUAGAGAAGAAAGUGCGUGAGAGUAACUGUUCACGUUUCGACGGUAUCUAACCAGAAAGCCACGGCUAACUACGUG
rnacentral:rRNA from 1 species